AGUUCCUGAUAAUGAAACAACAAGUGAGAAAAAAGCUUACUUUGAUUCCUGUAUUUAUCCAUCUUUUGCCAAAUGGUCAGGUUUCUACUUUGGGUCCGGGUCUUCUAAGUGCACCCAGGAAAUAUUAACGCCAGUUAUGUUCACCACCCUGUUAGGGAUAUGGCAGGUCAGGGACCAAUGUAGAAACACUCUCUUUCCGAACAUUUACUUUCACUUGCUCCAGCCUCCAUUAAGGCUGUGACCGCACAGAAGACAGGAGAGGUUUUUUCCUUCUCUUUUUUGAAAGGUCAUUCCUUGGGCUCAGUGGCCUCCUUCAUCAUGUUACUGGCUGCAGUGGACUUAGGAAUGCGGUGAACACAGGGGAUAGAGAAUGACUCAGAACAGAAAUCUCUAGGCCAGUGGGGAGCAGACGUUUCAUCAGAGUAUCUGAUUGAUUGAAGAUGAUGAAGAAGGGUUUUGGGAUGCAGAAUUUUCUAAAACCACCUGGAAGCCUGGGAACCUCUCCCUCCAGCCACAAGGCCCUGCCCCACACCCUGCAGCAGCCAAUGUGGAAAAUCAGACUCCAACCACCGCAACAAUGCCCCCCAAGGGUCAGGACUUGGUCAGUGACUCACAGCUUCGUCAUUUUCAUUCCUUUCCAUGUAGAACCAAAUGCGGGGAAAGCCAAAUAUGUUCCCUUAAGUAAUCACUUAGGACGACCCUCUUCCCAACAGCUUGUCUCCAGCCUCCUCACAUCACAAGCUCUGGGGAGCACAUGCAUUCCUUUUUUUUGUCACCAGAAAGUGUCCCCACUCUUAUGUGCCCUGAGUCUCAGCCUGAUGUGAGUGGUGGUGGCUGACUCCUGUGCUCUAUAGACAAGUUCUGAGUAAAUAGUGCUUGUUCUCA